GCUGGGUGUGGUGGCCCAUGCCUGUAGUCCCAGCUACUGGGAGGCUGAGGCGGGAGUAUCGGUUGAGCCUGGGGUGUCCAGGCUGCAGUAAGCUGAGAUGGUGCUACUGCACUUCAGCCUGGGUGACAAAGUGAGACCCUGUCUCAA
ensembl:misc_RNA Metazoa_SRP Metazoan signal recognition particle RNA